rnacentral:rRNA from 1 species
UACGUAGGGUGCAAGCGUUGUCCGGAAUUACUGGGCGUAAAGAGUUCGUAGGCGGUUUGUCGCGUCGUUUGUGAAAACCAGCAGCUCAACUGCUGGCUUGCAGGCGAUACGGGCAGACUUGAGUACUGCAGGGGAGACUGGAAUUCCUGGUGUAGCGGUGAAAUGCGCAGAGAUCCGGAAGAACACCGGUGGCGAAGGGCGGGUCUCUGGGCCGAUACUGGACGCUGAGGAGCGAAAGCGUGGGGAGCGAACAGG